UACUUAAAAAGACAAAUAAAUAAAUAAAUAUGAAACAAUACAGAGAAGAACAAACAGUAUAGGCCCUGUGCAAGGAUGACACACAAAUUUGGAGAGAGUUCCAUAGUUUUA